UACGGGGGGGGGCAAGCGUUGUUCGGAAUUACUGGGCGUAAAGGGCUCGUAGGCGGCCAACUAAGUCAAACGUGAAAUCCCUCGGCUUAACCGGGGAACUGCGUCUGAUACUGGAUGGCUUGAGUUUGGGAGAGGGAUGCGGAAUUCCAGGUGUAGCGGUGAAAUGCGUAGAUAUCUGGAGGAACACCGGUGGCGAAGGCGGCGAUCCUGGACCAACAC
rnacentral:rRNA from 1 species